CAGUACACGGUAAUACGAAGGGGGCUAGCGUUGUUCGGAUUUACUGGGCGUAAAAGGCGCGUAGGCGGGCGACUAAGUCAGAGGUGAAAUCCCAAGGCUCAACCUUGGAACUGCCUUUGAUACUGGUUGUCUUGAGUCCGGGAGAGGUGAGUGGAACUGCGAGUGUAGAGGUGAAAUUCGUAGAUAUUCGCAAGAACACCAGUGGCGAAGGCGGCUCACUGGCCCGGAACUGACGCUGAGGCGCGAAAGCGUGGGGAGCAAACAGAAUUAGAUACCCCAGUAGUCCCUGUCUCUUAUACAC
rnacentral:rRNA from 1 species